GACGAACGCUGGCGGCGUGCUUAACACAUGCAAGUCGAACGGGGCGAAGUGAUAGCUUGCUAUUAUGGAGCCUAGUGGCAAACGGGUGAGUAACGCGUAGGCAACCUGCCCUUCAGAUGGGGACAACACCUCGAAAGGGGUGCUAAUACCGAAUGACGUUUCCUGGUCGCAUGACCUGGAAACCAAAGGCCGGGCAACCGGUCACUGAAGGAUGGGCCUGCGUCUGAUUAGCUAGUUGGUAGGGUAACGGCCUACCAAGGCGACGAUCAGUAGCCGGACUGAGAGGUUGACCGGCCACAUUGGGACUGAGAUACGGCCCAGACUCCUACGGGAGGCAGCAGUGGGGAAUAUUGGGCAAUGGGCGCAAGCCUGACCCAGCAACGCCGCGUGAAGGAAGAAGGCUUUCGGGUUGUAAACUUCUUUUGUCAGGGAAGAGUAGAAGACUGUACCUGGCGAAUAAGCCACGGCUAACUACGUG
rnacentral:rRNA from 1 species